GGUAUUAAAAACGGAUCCUCAUACAUACAUGAAAUAAGUAAAAAGGAGGAGGACCUGUAAAGAGUUGGUUAAUGAAUAAGGUUAAGAUGAUAGGAUGGGAAUGGGGAUUUCAUCAUCUCACGGAGAAGCUCGCGUAGAAAGGGUUUGAGGGUUGAGCUGAGCCUGGCAUUUAAGGAGCUGAGCUACAUACCCAUUGGUUAACCCAGUUUCUUCCGCCAUUUGGAACAUGAAAGCAAGGCGGAGUUGGGUGCUCAUACUCUGCUGCAGUAUGAUGUUAGUCUCCUUUCGAAGUAAAUCGCAUCCCAAUUCAACGGCUUCAAAUUUUUCGCCUACUUGUCAUGAUCUCCCUUUGUUACCUACUUGUUUCUUCCAUAUCUUAUCGUAGCCUUUUCAUAUGCUUCCGAAGGUUUUCGAAGAAAUGAGUAGAGUUUAUUAACAUGGAAUUUCGGCAGAGACGAAAGUCCAAAAACCUUCGGAAACGCAUGAAAAGGCUACGAUCAGAUAUGGAAGAAAUAAGUAAGGAACAAAGGAAGAUCAAAGAAGGGCAAAGACAAGUAGGAGAAAAUUUGAAGCUGUUAAAAUGGAAUGCGACUUACUUCGAAAGGAGACUAACAUCAUAAUGCGUCAGAGUAUGAGCAGAGCACCCAACUCCGCCUUGCUUUCAUCUUCCAAAUCUUGAAAGCAAGAGAAAACCAUGACCUCGACCAGGCUGCCAAACUCCCUGCCG
rnacentral:lncRNA from 1 species